GGCAGAGGAGCCUGCAGGAGGAAGGAUGAUGCAGUUCUGUUCCCAGAUGGAGGCUUUCUCCGCUGCCUCAGAUGCUGGGGUCAGAGGAGGACAAGGAGCUGAAUCUCCUCCGAAGCUCACAAGUGCUGCAGCAGCCUGGGAUGGCUCCCACCCCACAGACCCGCUGCUGCUCCAGAGGAGGAGGGAUUCAGGGAUGCCCCCAGGCACAGGAACCCCAUUUCCAGCUGUUCUCUGCAAACGGUGCUUGGGGAGCACCUCAGGAAUGGGAUUUUCUGGACAGAUGACCAAUAAAAAAACAUUAUGAGCC